rnacentral:rRNA from 1 species
CCCUUAGAUGUCCGGGGCCGCACGCGCGCUACACUGAAGGAAUCAGCGUGGCUUUCUCCCUGACCCGAAAGGGUUGGGAAACUCGUUGAAUCUCCUUCGUGAUAGGGAUUGGGGCUUGAAAUUGUUCCCCAUGAACGAGGAAUUCCCAGUAAGCGCGAGUCAUAAGCUCGCGUUGAUUACGUCCCUGCCCUUUGUACACACCGCCCGUCGCUACUACCGAUUGAACGGUUUAGUGAGGGCCUCGGAUUGGUCUCGGCCCGCUCUUUACCGGGCGGCGCCGUUGGUCGAGAAGACGCUCGAACUUGAUCGUUUAGAGGAAGUAAAAGUCGUAACA